rnacentral:rRNA from 1 species
CAGCCACCGCGGGAAUACGUAGGGUGCGAGCGUUGUCCGGAUUUAUUGGGCGUAAAGGGCUCGUAGGUGGUUGAUCGCGUCGGAAGUGUAAUCUUGGGGCUUAACCCUGAGCGUGCUUUCGAUACGGGUUGACUUGAGGAAGGUAGGGGAGAAUGGAAUUCCUGGUGGAGCGGUGGAAUGCGCAGAUAUCAGGAGGAGCACCAGUGGCGAAGGCGGUUCUCUGGGCCUUUCCUGACGCUGAGGAGCGAAAGCCAGGGGAGCGAACGGGAUUAGAUACCCCCGUAGUCUCUGUCUCUUAUAC